UUAAGCGACUAAGCGUACACGGUGGAUGCCCUGGCAGUCAGAGGCGAUGAAGGACGUGCUAAUCUGCGAUAAGCGUCGGUAAGGUGAUAUGAACCGUUAUAACCGGCGAUUUCCGAAUGGGGAAACCCAGUGUGAUUCGUCACACUAUCAUUAACUGAAUCCAUAGGUUAAUGAGGCGAACCGGGGGAACUGAAACAUCUAAGUACCCCGAGGAAAAGAAAUCAACCGAGAUUCCCCCAGUAGCGGCGAGCGAACGGGGAGCAGCCCAGAGCCUGAAUCAGUGUGUGUGUUAGUGGAAGCGUCUGGAAAGGCGCGCGAUACAGGGUGACAGCCCCGUACACAAAAAUGCACAUACUGUGAGCUCGAUGAGUAGGGCGGGACACGUGGUAUCCUGUCUGAAUAUGGGGGGACCAUCCUCCAAGGCUAAAUACUCCUGACUGACCGAUAGUGAACCAGUACCGUGAGGGAAAGGCGAAAAGAACCCCGGCGAGGGGAGUGAAAAAGAACCUGAAACCGUGUACGUACAAGCAGUGGGAGCCUCUUUUAUGGGGUGACUGCGUACCUUUUGUAUAAUGGGUCAGCGACUUAUAUUCUGUAGCAAGGUUAACCGAAUAGGGGAGCCGAAGGGAAACCGAGUCUUAACCGGGCGUUAAGUUGCAGGGUAUAGACCCGAAACCCGGUGAUCUAGCCAUGGGCAGGUUGAAGGUUGGGUAACACUAACUGGAGGACCGAACCGACUAAUGUUGAAAAAUUAGCGGAUGACUUGUGGCUGGGGGUGAAAGGCCAAUCAAACCGGGAGAUAGCUGGUUCUCCCCGAAAGCUAUUUAGGUAGCGCCUCGUGAAUUCAUCUCCGGGGGUAGAGCACUGUUUCGGCAAGGGGGUCAUCCCGACUUACCAACCCGAUGCAAACUGCGAAUACCGGAGAAUGUUAUCACGGGAGACACACGGCGGGUGCUAACGUCCGUCGUGAAGAGGGAAACAACCCAGACCGCCAGCUAAGGUCCCAAAGUCAUGGUUAAGUGGGAAACGAUGUGGGAAGGCCCAGACAGCCAGGAUGUUGGCUUAGAAGCAGCCAUCAUUUAAAGAAAGCGUAAUAGCUCACUGGUCGAGUCGGCCUGCGCGGAAGAUGUAACGGGGCUAAACCAUGCACCGAAGCUGCGGCAGCGACACUGUGUGUUGUUGGGUAGGGGAGCGUUCUGUAAGCCUGUGAAGGUGUACUGUGAGGUAUGCUGGAGGUAUCAGAAGUGCGAAUGCUGACAUAAGUAACGAUAAAGCGGGUGAAAAGCCCGCUCGCCGGAAGACCAAGGGUUCCUGUCCAACGUUAAUCGGGGCAGGGUGAGUCGACCCCUAAGGCGAGGCCGAAAGGCGUAGUCGAUGGGAAACAGGUUAAUAUUCCUGUACUUGGUGUUACUGCGAAGGGGGGACGGAGAAGGCUAUGUUGGCCGGGCGACGGUUGUCCCGGUUUAAGCGUGUAGGCUGGUUUUCCAGGCAAAUCCGGAAAAUCAAGGCUGAGGCGUGAUGACGAGGCACUACGGUGCUGAAGCAACAAAUGCCCUGCUUCCAGGAAAAGCCUCUAAGCAUCAGGUAACAUCAAAUCGUACCCCAAACCGACACAGGUGGUCAGGUAGAGAAUACCAAGGCGCUUGAGAGAACUCGGGUGAAGGAACUAGGCAAAAUGGUGCCGUAACUUCGGGAGAAGGCACGCUGAUAUGUAGGUGAAGUCCCUCGCGGAUGGAGCUGAAAUCAGUCGAAGAUACCAGCUGGCUGCAACUGUUUAUUAAAAACACAGCACUGUGCAAACACGAAAGUGGACGUAUACGGUGUGACGCCUGCCCGGUGCCGGAAGGUUAAUUGAUGGGGUCAGCGCAAGCGAAGCUCUUGAUCGAAGCCCCGGUAAACGGCGGCCGUAACUAUAACGGUCCUAAGGUAGCGAAAUUCCUUGUCGGGUAAGUUCCGACCUGCACGAAUGGCGUAAUGAUGGCCAGGCUGUCUCCACCCGAGACUCAGUGAAAUUGAACUCGCUGUGAAGAUGCAGUGUACCCGCGGCAAGACGGAAAGACCCCGUGAACCUUUACUAUAGCUUGACACUGAACAUUGAGCCUUGAUGUGUAGGAUAGGUGGGAGGCUUUGAAGUGUGGACGCCAGUCUGCAUGGAGCCGACCUUGAAAUACCACCCUUUAAUGUUUGAUGUUCUAACGUGGACCCGUGAUCCGGGUUGCGGACAGUGUCUGGUGGGUAGUUUGACUGGGGCGGUCUCCUCCUAAAGAGUAACGGAGGAGCACGAAGGUUGGCUAAUCCUGGUCGGACAUCAGGAGGUUAGUGCAAUGGCAUAAGCCAGCUUGACUGCGAGCGUGACGGCGCGAGCAGGUGCGAAAGCAGGUCAUAGUGAUCCGGUGGUUCUGAAUGGAAGGGCCAUCGCUCAACGGAUAAAAGGUACUCCGGGGAUAACAGGCUGAUACCGCCCAAGAGUUCAUAUCGACGGCGGUGUUUGGCACCUCGAUGUCGGCUCAUCACAUCCUGGGGCUGAAGUAGGUCCCAAGGGUAUGGCUGUUCGCCAUUUAAAGUGGUACGCGAGCUGGGUUUAGAACGUCGUGAGACAGUUCGGUCCCUAUCUGCCGUGGGCGCUGGAGAACUGAGGGGGGCUGCUCCUAGUACGAGAGGACCGGAGUGGACGCAUCACUGGUGUUCGGGUUGUCAUGCCAAUGGCACUGCCCGGUAGCUAAAUGCGGAAGAGAUAAGUGCUGAAAGCAUCUAAGCACGAAACUUGCCCCGAGAUGAGUUCUCCCUGACCCUUUAAGGGUCCUGAAGGAACGUUGAAGACGACGACGUUGAUAGGCCGGGUGUGUAAGCGCAGCGAUGCGUUGAGCUAACCGGUACUAAUGAACCGUGAGGCUUAACCUU
rnacentral:rRNA from 2 species